GGCUCAGUGGUGGAUGGUCCAUACCUGUGUUGUGUUGUGCUCAUCAGCUCUGGGUAUUAAAGCAGGAGAAGCCUGUUCGAAUCAGGCCCGAGCCA